AGAGGAAGUCCUGCCAGCUCUAUCGUCCCUCUCCCAGGAUGCUCCACCGGAGCAGGCCAAGUGUUCAUCUAUCAUGAUGCUGCUGGAAGAGGCCAGACCCCUGUGAGCUGAGGACUCACUGUUUCCCGGUUUGGAUGCCUCUGCUUUGCAAAAGAGAAACAAGGCUGAUUCUGCCCUCCUCGUGUGGGACCCAGCAGCCCCUGUGAAGUGAGAAGCAUCUGCUCUCCCUGUGGUCAUGCAUAAAAGAGAUUUGCAAAGUUAGCUUAGCUUUUAAGUCAAUUCAUCAGCAGAGCUGCAGGUGUCAAAAUGGGUUAGGAGAAGAAAAUCUCAAGGAAAUAAGCAGAUGGGUGAUGAGCAGCCAGCAAAACAAAAUCACCAUAGUGCUUUGUCCUGCUUUGCUGGAGCAGCUGAUAAGCUCGUAGCGCAUUGCAAACACUGGGGGACAAAUCCUGCUCCCUCUGUCACGAACAGGACAGGACUUGGCCCCAGGCAGCAGGUUUCCCCAGCUCACCCUCUGCAAGGCGGGAGUGCAUCGCCGCAGAGCACUGGGUUUGGCAGGAACUUGGCUGCAGUGAAGGGCCCAUUGGCUCCUGGCUCAUAAUGUAAGGGAAUUCAGAAGUGCUUUUGAGGAUCUGAAGGAAAAGAAAGGAAGGAAGAAAGGAAAAAGGAGGUGAGUGUAAGAGCUUGGGAGUUUCUGAAGUAGCAGCAACACCCCAUGAUCAGUGCUAGGAGCAGGUGGGACAACACCCACGUCACUCAUCACAGCGUGGUGACACUGCUGUCAGCAGACAGAUAAGCAGCUCUUCCUUGUGUGACUGAUACUCCAGCAUGCGCUUCUGGCCCAGAUCCCUUCCCACAAGGCUGGCUGCGGUGGCGGAGGCAGGAGAGCUGCUGCACAAGGAACCCGCAGGAGAAGCGGCUGCGGCAGAGCCAGGACGGGAACGGAGGAGCUGCGACAUGCCGUGUUCCCCGCUGCAUGCCCACCCGAAGGCCUUUUCAGGCCUUUCAGUGCCUCAUACCACCCUCUCUACCCCUGGAGACUGCAUUUAAACACCGCCUGAUCUGCAGGCAAGGACCGAAGGGAGCGUUGGUAGAAAGUGCAGGCAAGACCAUCGGCAUGCCUGACACAUGCUGUAACUCCGCGAGCAGCGCAAUGCCACGGCCGCUCGCUGGAUCCGGCCACAACUCCUCCAUCGUCCAAAUAUUUAGAUUCUAAAAAGGCUAGGAUAGAAACACCAAGAAAAAUAAAUAUUUUACAAACACA